UGAUGUGAGGGUAAUCUGGUUGUGACAUCUGUCACCCCAUUGAUCGCUAGGGUUGAUUUGGCUGCUUUGGUUGGCUCGGCAGAUGUCCCCUUCCUCUUGGAUUCAAAAAUAGUUUUACAUUUGUUCUUUCUGCUGUUGCUGUUGUUGUUGUUGUGAACUAGCAACCUGACUUUCCUAAGGCUGAGUCAAGGCUGCAUACAACUCAAUGACAUACAAAUUUCACUGUUCUUUCUACUGUUCCAGAGACAUGUUCUGUUCCGGUA